GGAAAAGCGGGGCGGGCGGGAGGGGGAGUGGGGGGGGUGAGAGCGUUAUAGGGAAUUCAGUGGCGGAAAGGGAACGCAGGCGGUUGGUGAAGUUAGAUGGGAAAGCCCCGGGCUCAACCUGGGAAUUGCAUUUAAAACUGUCCAGCGAGAGUCUUGUAGAGGGGGGUAGAAUUCCAGGUGUAGCGGUGAAAUGCGUAGAGAUCUGGAGGAAUACCGGUGGCGAAGGCGGCCCCCUGGACAAAGACUGACGCUCAGGUGCGAAAGCGUGGGGAGCAAACAGGAUUAGAUACCCCAGUAGUC
rnacentral:rRNA from 1 species